UACAGAGGGUGCGAGCGUUGUUCGGAAUUAUUGGGCGUAAAGGGCGCGUAGGCGGUGCGGUAAGUCACCUGUGAAAUCUCCUGGCUCAACUGGGAGCUUGCAGGCGAAACUGCCGUGCUGGAGUGUGGGAGAGGUGCGUGGAAUUCCUGGUGUAGCGGUGAAAUGCGUAGAUAUCGGGAGGAACACCUGUGGCGAAAGCGGCUCACUGGACCACAACUGACGCUGAGGCGCGAAAGCUAGGGGAGCAAACAGG
rnacentral:rRNA from 1 species